rnacentral:rRNA from 1 species
GAUGAACGCUGGCGGCGUGCCUAAUACAUGCAAGUCGAGCGAACGGACGAGAAGCUUGCUUCUCUGAUGUUAGCGGCGGACGGGUGAGUAACACGUGGAUAACCUACCUAUAAGACUGGGAUAACUUCGGGAAACCGGAGCUAAUACCGGAUAAUAUUUUGAACCGCAUGGUUCAAAAGUGAAAGACGGUCUUGCUGUCACUUAUAGAUGGAUCCGCGCUGCAUUAGCUAGUUGGUAAGGUAACGGCUUACCAAGGCAACGAUGCAUAGCCGACCUGAGAGGGGGAUCGGCCACACUGGAACUGAGACACGGUCCAGACUCCUACGGGAGGCAGCAGUAGGGAAUCUUCCGCAAUGGGCGAAAGCCUGACGGAGCAACGCCGCGUGAGUGACGAAGGUCUUCGGAUCGUAAAACUCUGUUAUUAGGGAAGAACAUAUGUGUAAGUAACUGUGCACAUCUUGACGGUACCUAAUCAGAAAGCCACGGCUAACUACGUG